rnacentral:lncRNA from 1 species
GGGCAUAUUCUGGGAACCGCAUAUAAUUCAUGGCUUAUGUACAAAUAAUAGUAGUGAAUUUUUGAUUUGGGGGUGUGUGUGAGAGCUUGGGAUAAAAUGAAUGAUUUUGGUGUAUUGUAUAUAUGUAUUUCUUUAGCUCAGUCUGAGUGGUGGAAAAGAGUCAUUGUUAAGUGUUCUAUUUCAGCUAAGCUUGGAGUCUACACUGUAAUCUUUUUGCUGUCGUUGCCUUUCAGAAAAACCUAAGUCUUUCACAGUGAAAUGGGGGAUUAUUUUUCCUCUUUUUACAGAAAAAGAAACAUAGGAAACAGAAAAACAAAGGAAACCACAAGAAUAAAAAAUCAGAAAAAGACAGCAGCUCAGACACUGCAGAUAGCAGUGACAAUCUUUGUGAUACAGAUACCACAGGCUUAUCAGCUGAGGAACUUCUAAGAAGAUUAAAACAACUCCAGUAUUGAAGAGGGGGCUUGCUUUCUUCGGUGCUGUGUGACUUGAUCUCAAAUUUUUGAUCUCCUCCAUGAUGGUAGAUCAGUUGUACACUUUGAAGCACAGUAGACACUGUAUUCAUAUUGAAUUUGUUUGAAAGCAAAUAUGCAUAUGUUAAAUUUGUGGUGCUUCAUAUGUUUAAAAUACAUGGAUUAUGGAACGUUGAAAAGACCCCUUCCUGGGCAGCAUAAUCUGAAAUGCUGCAAGUUCUGUUUUAAUUAACAUGAAGCAAUAUAUUUUAAUGAAUUUAAGUAUUACAAAUAGUUUACGUAUGUUAGGUCACUGCCUAGGACCUCUAAAAUGCUGGAGAAUAAGUUUCAGCCUGAGUUACGUUAGCAAGUUGAUUACUAAAGCCAUAUAAAUUUUAUAUUGGGUGCAAAUAUUUUUAAUGAGUCUAAUGCAGAAUUUCACAUUGCAGUUUUGCAGUGGCUGUACUUAGAGAGUUAUUUUUACAUCCUCAAAAUGUAUACAGCAUUUACCAUAACAGAUCUAAAACAAUGAACUGUCAUUUUGACACAGAUUAUUAAGGCUAAUGUACUAACUGAUCAGUGCUAUAAUCUGCCUUAUUUUAUGUAGUUACAAUGAAAACAUUUAUACUAUUGUUUGUUCAUGCAGCACAUUUAAAAAGCAAUUGUCAUGUUGUAGAAUUAUUUUAAUGUAAACUAUGAAAUAAUACUGCACUGUAUUUUAAAUGCUGAGGUUGCUAAAAUAUACCCACAGAACUUCUUCCAGGUGCGCACGGAAACCAAAACAAUACUCUUGCUUGAAACUGUGAACAAAAGCCUUAAGUGAAAUACACUGUCCUUGAUGGCAGUUCUCUGGGGCCUGAUUGAAUUUACUUUCAGUAUCCACAGCUCUUGAGGAGGGUGAACUAAUAGAGUUAUCUCAUGUUGACACACAGCUUGUGGGAUUUGUAAAUGUAAAAGCAACACAAAAACUUGAGUUAUGGAAGGUGAAAUAAGAAAUUGAACCUUGAGGCUGCGUCCGUUGCAGGAAAAAAAAAAAAUAAA